UACGGAGGGGGCUAGCGUUGUUCGGAAUUACUGGGCGUAAAGCGCGCGUAGGCGGACCUGCAAGUCGGGGGUGAAAGCCCGAGGCUCAACCUCGGAACUGCCUUCGAUACUGCGGGUCUCGAGUCCGGGAGAGGUGAGUGGAAUUCCUAGUGUAGAGGUGAAAUUCGUAGAUAUUAGGAAGAACACCGGUAGGCGAAGGCGGCCUUCUGGGACAGUGACUGACGCUGAAACGC
rnacentral:rRNA from 1 species